CCCAACUCCCCACCUCAACUCCCACAUGCAUUAACAAAAAGACUCCUAAUUUCAGCUCCUCGUCAUCAAACCCUAAAGAAAUCAACCCAGUUCACAACCCUUCUCUUUCUCCAACACCUCCAUUAACAACCCAACAAAACAGAAACACCAAAAAAAAAACAAAAAAGGUCAAAUUUUGAGGAAUACCCUUUUCUUGUUUCUGUUGAAUAAACCAAAAAAGCAAAAAAGAUCAAAUUUUGAGGAGUAACCUUUACUUGUUUUUGUAGAAUAAGCAAAAGAAAAAAAAAAGAUCAAAUUUUGAGAUAUCCUGAAAAUUAGAGAAAUACCCUUUUCUUGUUUUUGCUGAAUAACUAGAUUUUAGCAAAGCUAAGCUAAGUUUGAGCUCAAGAAAAAAUCUUUUCUUGAGCAAUCACUGUCCUUGAAGAGAGAGAAAAUAAAGAGGUCUUUUUCUGUUUUUAUAGCACACCCGACCAAGCUAGACCUGAUAGCAGUAGAGAGAGAAACAAGAGAGAGAGAAGACUGUGUGUGUGUGUACAGAGAGGUUAAAUUAAUGGCUCAUUCUCUCUCUCUUUCUUGCUCCGUGUACUCUAUCAGAAUGAAGUUCAAGGAAAAUUGAAUCACAACCGUUGAUUGAACCGUACAUGAUGAAUUUUGACCGUUGAAUUGGGAAGUAUGAUAUGACAGGAGACAUGUGCCACCAUUCUUCAAUGGUCAUUGUCAGAGUACGGACCGUCCAAUAUAAUAUUGCACCUGAUCAAG
rnacentral:lncRNA from 1 species